AGUCUGAUCUCAGCCGUGAAAUGGAAUCUGAUAUGAUAGAUGUGUGCAAGGGUGUGACUAAAAUCUAUCAUUACAUAAUUGCUCUGCCACCUGAUCUUACAGAACUGGAAACACAAAUUCCAGAAGUUAUUACCCCUGAAGAGAAGUCAUGUAAUGUGCAAGUGCCAAUAACUGCAACUAAUUCACCCAUUGAACGUAUAUUUCCCCUUCAAGAUGUGCUCC